rnacentral:rRNA from 1 species
UACGUAGGUGGCAAGCGUUGUCCGGAUUUACUGGGCGUAAAGAGCGCGCAGGCGGUCGGAUUAGUCGCGUGUGAAAGCCCCCGGCUCAACUGGGGAGGGUCACGCGAUACUGUUCGACUCGAAGGCAGGAGAGGGAAGUGGAAUUCCCGGUGUAGUGGUGAAAUGCGUAGAUAUCGGGAGGAACACCAGUGGCGAAGGCGACUUCCUGGCCUGUUCUUGACGCUGAGGCGCGAAAGCUAGCGUAGCAAACGGG